rnacentral:rRNA from 1 species
GACUGCACAUGCAGUCGUGACGAGGUGAAUGAACCCUUCGGGGUACACGAGCGGCGAACGGGUGAGUAACACGUGAGCAACCUGCCCCUGACUCUGGGAUAAGCGGUGGAAACGCCGUCUAAUACCGGAUACGACCCGCCACCUCAUGGUGGAGGGUGGAAAGUUUUUCGGUCAGGGAUGGGCUCGCGGCCUAUCAGCUUGUUGGUGGGGUAACGGCCUACCAAGGCGAUUACGGGUAGCCGGCCUGAGAGGGCGACCGGCCACACUGGGACUGAGACACGGCCCAGACUCCUGCGGGAGGCAGCAGUGGGGAAUAUUGCGCAAUGGGCGAAAGCCUGACGCAGCGACGCCGCGUGGGGGAUGACGGCCUUCGGGUUGUAAACCUCUUUUACCACCAACGCAGGCUCGAAGUUCUCUUCGGGUUGACGGUAGGUGGGGAAUAAGGACCGGCUAACUACGUGCCAGCAGCCGCGGUAAUACGUAGGGUCCGAGCGUUGUCCGGAAUUAUUGGGCGUAAAGAGCUCGUAGGCGGCGUGUCACGUCUGCUGUGAAAGACCGGGGCUUAACUCCGGUUCUGCAGUGGAUACGGGCAUGCUAGAGGUAGGUAGGGGAGACUGGAAUUCCUGG